GAUGAACGCUGGCGGCGUGCCUAAUACAUGCAAGUCGAGCGAACGGACGAGAAGCUUGCUUUUCUGAUGUUAGCGGCGGACGGGUGAGUAACACGUGGAUAACCUACCUAUAAGACUGGGAUAACUUCGGGAAACCGGAGCUAAUACCGGAUAAUAUUUUGAACCGCAUGGUUCAAAAGUGAAAGACGGUCUUGCUGUCACUUAUAGAUGGAUCCGCGCUGCAUUAGCUAGUUGGUAAGGUAACGGCUUACCAAGGCAACGAUGCAUAGCCGACCUGAGAGGGUGAUCGGCCACACUGGACCUGAGACACGGCCCAGACCCCUACGGGAGGAAGCAGUAGGGAAUCUUCCGAAAUGGGCGAAAGCCUGACGGAGCAACGCCGCGUGAGUGAUGAAGGUCUUCGGAUCGUAAAACUCUGUUAUUAGGGAAGAACAUAUGUGUAAGUAACUGUGCACAUCUUGACGGUACCUAAUAAGAAAGCCACGGCUACCUACGU
rnacentral:rRNA from 1 species